UUCACUAGGAAGCAGUUGAUUCUGUAGGAGCAGAGCUGGCCCCACAUAAAGAAGCCAAACUGAAAAGGCACCACCAUGAAAACAGGAGAGAAAAGGCCAGGUGUCUCUCCUGUUGCAAGAGGGGUACCACCCUUGUCAUAUUAUUUUUUUACAAUGGGGGGAGUUGGACUAUUUCUUGAAGAAGGAAGACAUUGUGGAAAUGCACCCUCAGCCUUGAGAUGUCCCAAGACAUUCCUACUGGGAAGUCUUCCAGUAGCUUAUCAAUAGAAUAGAUAGGCACCCACUUACCCAGAAGGCCAAUCCUUACUCCAUGUGCCUCCAGUGGCUGGAGUAACACAACACAAAACCCACUCUAGUUUGAAGACCUACUCAACCUCAACUCAUAGGUCUGUCUCAGAGAGGACCAUGAUCCCAGGGUCCCAUUGCUUCCUAUAAUAUAUGUUUUCAGGGUCUAGUUCCUAUUUUUCCCCAAAGUCACCUGCUAGUCAGUUAUGAACAGCUCAAGAAGCCAUCCAUAAGAAUUCCUUUCUGGUCAUAUUUCAGCACAAUCAACGGAAAGCAAGUUGAAGCAUGCCUGGAUUCCACUGGACUUCAAGGCUGGCCUUUAAAAGCUGCUGGUCAACAAGGGCAAAUCCUCCUAAAAACAGGAGAACCAUGUGGUCAUCUCCUUCAAAUGAAUCUUUACUUCCAAGAGGCAGUUGAUCAUCUUGUCUCUGGCAUAUCUUGCCACUUCCAUGAAACUUGAUUCAUUUUGGGCCUCUAUUUCACUUCUGUAGUUGAAUGAAUACUAAUGUCCACCCAAUAUCUAUCUAGCUUUCUACUAGGGAUGUGUUCAUUGCCCCCCCACCCCUACCCCUAACUCAGUUCCAUAUUUGUUAUGGAAUAUUAUUUUAAGAUGUAUUGCUUUCAUUUAUGCUGUGGAACAUUUGUUUAAUGAUGCAAA